GUUUUUGUAGUUGAUUACAACGGUGGUUUUUUAAAUCAUGGGUCUUGGUUAGAAUCUGGGCAAGAAUU
rnacentral:tRNA from 1 species